rnacentral:misc_RNA from 1 species
AAGUCGUAACAAGGUUUCCGUAGGUGAACCUGCGGAAGGAUCAUUAACACGUAUCCAACGUUAAACAACCCUGUGAACUUUCAGACGCUCUUGUAGCCCAGGAGGAACAGCAAUCCCGGUAAAUCAAUGGCAGAAAAGUUUUGAUUCGGGACCUCUGUCCAAAAGGUAUCAAGUUACAAUCUGAACAACUGUUAACAAUGGAUAUCUUGGUUCUC